GGCGCUAUAGCCAAGUGGUUAAGGCGAUUGAUUAGAAUUAUCGAGUUAGUCUAUCAAUUCCCGUUUCGGGGCGCAGGUUCGAGUCCUGCUGGCGUCG